rnacentral:tRNA from 1 species
GGAAAAAUGACUGAGUGGCUUAAGGUGAAGAUCUGCUAAAUCUUUGUAUAAAUAAAUUUGUACCGUGGGUUCAAAUCCCACUUUUUCCU